CGAAAAAGAAAAAUAUUGCUGUUUUGUUUAAUUCUAUAGGUACACAAAAGCUGACGCCACACAAUUUCUAAAAUGUAUUAAUAUUAAUAAGCUACAAAACGCAAUAAUGGAAUAAAUUACUUUUCGUUUUUAUAUCUUUGACUCAAUCACAGAUCAGUCAAUUCCGGAUAACCCCAUGUCACAAUACAAUAGAGGGGCCUCAGUUUUUUCCAUGGUAUAUGUUCUUUAUUAAUUAUAUUUUUUGCGUAUUUAACCAUUAACUUUGCAUUUGUUGAAGUUUUAUCGAUUAAAACUUUUUACUGAUGGUUUUUAAAGGAAAUUACUAGAUAUAUGUAUUAUUUUAUUUAGUUAAGACAUAUUUUUCUGUUUUCAGCAGUUUUUAAAAAUUUCAAAUUCGGAGCGGGAUUUGCUCCAAUCGAAAAACGACAAGAUACAUUUUUUGUUACAUUUGGAAGAAAACAUAUGGAACAAUGGACAGACACGCCGUGCCUCGGCAUUACCGAUUUCAUUGUUUUUAAAUUUUCCUAACUAUAUUUUCAACCAGAAAAAUUGCUUUAAUCAACAAAUGCCUAUAGGCUUUUUUUGUUGAAUUUGGAAAUUUGAUAGGAGGUUCAUUACAAGUCAUAUUUAGUGGCCAAGAAAAAAAAAUGAGUGUAGUGAAGUAUUUUUUUUAUAAGAAUAUUAAAAUUUAGAAAAUCGUAAAUAAAAACGAACUUCACACAGAAUCGUAUUUUGUAAGCAAAAGUCUAGAGUUGCUUAUUAUAGAAAUAAAUUCAAAAACUUUAUAUAUUCUAUUUUCCCAACUUCCCAUUCAAGAACGGAUCCAGGAUCUGUUUACGAAGAAGGCACGUAUUAGAGAAAUGUCUACUGUUAUUCAUUUAUAAUUAUUAAUGAAACCAUAAAUACAAAAUUUAUGAAAUAUAAUUGCAAUAAAAUUAUGAAAAAUCAUACUAUAGAUAGUAUUGUCAAUCGUG